UGUAUUUCUUCUGUGAUCCUACAUCAAACAUGUAGGGGGACAAGAAUUUUUUGAAGGGGUUUGUUCCAAAGGAUAACUGCUGGAAUUCUUACCAACAUGACCUUCUGAACUUCAAUGGAUCCCUAUACAAUGAUCAAUCACAAACCCAGAAUUUAUAGAAACCCAGUGUGAGAUGUUCCUGGAUCACAGCUAAAAGAACAGAUUGAGGUAAUUCCAACUGAGAGGAGUAGGCUACUUCACCUUUGCCUUGUUUUGUAUCUUGCCCCAGGAAGAUUCAUGUCAUCAAGAGUGCUGUGGCCAGCUCACAGCAUGGAGCUGAGAACGGGAGCACCGAUAAAGCACCGAGCCCAGGCGAGUUACAAAGCACUGCUGGAAGUUGAAGACAUU